rnacentral:tRNA from 1 species
GGAAGUGCUAAGCUAUCUGGUGUGGCUCCUGGACUUCAAAUCCAGUGGAAGGCGUGAGAAACGUCUUCGGCGGGUUCGAUUCCCGUGCACUUCCGCCA